UGGGGCAGGGACCCAGCGUCACGUUUUUCGUGGGCCGCCUUUCCACUGGGUGGCGCUGUGCAGCAGCGUUAGCCAAAUUUCGAUCCCGCCUGGUAAAGACCCUCAGGAAAUAGGAUGCCCGAGCUGCUGCGGAAAUGGCCGGAAGCGUGGGAUCGGUCUCAUGUCAAACGUCACCUCAUUUUCAUUGCCAAGGAGCCAGAACACGAAUAAAAGCGCUGCCUCCACCUGGAAGACCCCUGUCCCUACUUCAAAGCCCCCAUCUUAAGGCUUCUCCCCAUGCAGCUGGAUUCCCCAGGCAGAGCCCUCUUCAUCAACCUGGGUCCCUCUUUGUGUCCCCCAUGCUGACCCCGGCAGCCGGACAUGUCCAUGUCUAGCUUAAGGCCCUGACUACAGCAAGUACUCAAUAAAAGUUGACAGCGUGGGCAGGCGGACUGACAUCUA